UGGCGGCGUGCCUAACACAUGCAAGUCGAACGAGAAAGUGGAGCAAUCCAUGAGUACAGUGGCGUACGGGUGAGUAACACGUGACUAACCUACCCUCGAGUGGGGAAUAACUUCGGGAAACCGAGGCUAAUACCGCAUAACAUCUACGGAUCAAAUGCGCAAGCAGCUUGAGGAGGGGGUCGCGGCUGAUUAGCUCGUUGGCGGGGUAACGGCCCACCAAGGCAAUGAUCAGUAGCCGGCCUGAGAGGGCGCACGGCCACACUGGAACUGAAACACGGUCCAGACUCCUACGGGAGGCAGCAGUGGGGAAUUUUGCGCAAUGGGGGAAACCCUGACGCAGCAACGCCGCGUGGAGGAUGAAGCCCCUUGGGGUGUAAACUCCUUUCGAUCGGGACGAUUAUGACGGUACCGGAUGAAGAAGCACCGGCUAACUCUGUGCCAGCAGCCGCGGUAAUACAGAGGGUGCAAGCGUUGUUCGGAAUUAUUGGGCGUAAAGGGUGCGUAGGCGGUGCGGUAAG
rnacentral:rRNA from 1 species